GGUGCCUUAGCUCAGCUGGUAGAGCAACGGACUGAAAAUCCGUGUGUCCCCAGUUCGAUCCUGGGAGGCACCA
rnacentral:tRNA from 1 species